AGUGAACGCUGGCGGUAGGCCUAAUACAUGCAAGUCGAACGGCAGCACAGUAAGAGCUUGCUCUUACGGGUGGCGAGUGGCGGACGGGUGAGGAAUACAUCGGAAUCUACUUUUUCGUGGGGGAUAACGUAGGGAAACUUACGCUAAUACCGCAUACGACCUACGGGUGAAAGCAGGGGAUCUUCGGACCUUGCGCGAUUGAAUGAGCCGAUGUCGGAUUAGCUAGUUGGCGGGGUAAAGGCCCACCAAGGCGACGAUCCGUAGCUGGUCUGAGAGGAUGAUCAGCCAAAGUGGAACUGGGACCCGGUCCAGCCUCCUAGGGGGGGCAGCGGUGGGGAAUUUUGGAAAAGGGGGGAAAGCCUGACCCAGCCAUCCCGGGUGGGGGAAGAAGGCCUUGGGGUUUUAAAGCCCUUUUUUUGGGAAAAAAAAGCAGCAGGUUAAUCCCCCGUUUUUCUGGCGGUACCAAAAAAAAAAGCACCGGUUAAUUUCGU
rnacentral:rRNA from 1 species